CUCAUUUCGAUCGCAUGGUUUUUUUGUAAAAAUCUACGAAUUUCUUCAUAAUUAAAACCUCUGAAAAAAUAGUACUGUAUAAUGUCUUCUUCGUGAAACUGUUCUUCGCCUAUUAACUCCUCAAUAUCAGCCAUGUUGAAUUUAUUAAGUAUUGUAGUGCCCAGUCUUCCUUAUUGUUUUUUUGCUCUUGUGCCGUGGAGUUUUUGUUUUUGCCGUGGAGUUUUUGUUCGUGCCGUGGAGUUUUUGUUUGUGCCGUGAAGUUUUUGUUCGUGCCGUGAAGUUUUUGUUCGUGCCGUGGAAUUUUUGUUCGUGCCGUGAAGUUUUUGCUCUUGUGCCGUGGAAUUUUUGUUCGUGCCGUGGAGUUUUUGUUUGUGCCGUGAAGUUUUUGUUCGUGCCGUGGAGUUUUUGUUCGUGCCGUGGCACCUGUGGGCCACCGUAC